rnacentral:lncRNA from 1 species
GCGAUGACAACGGCGCAAAUUUAGUGAUGUGUGAUGGCACGCAUGCGACGAGCUGACCAACAAAGCCGCAAUGGGAGCUCAAUGGCAAAAGGUUGAGAGGUACUAUGUUAAUCCUCACCAAGGUCUUCAAGAUCUCUCUCAGUCCUCUUUUCUCUAUCCAGAACCAUAGUCUCUCUCCUCUAGCACUCGUUCCCUGGUGAAGAUGGACUAACACCUGCGGGGGCACGACCUUUUCCCCCUCUCUCCUCCACGUUGG